rnacentral:rRNA from 1 species
UACGUAGGCAGCGAGCGUUGUUCGGAGUUACUGGGCGUAAAGGGUGCGUAGGCGGUUGUUUAAGUUUGGUGUGAAAUCUCCCGGCUCAACUAGGAGGGUGCGCCGAAUACUGAAUGACUAGAGUGCGGGAGAGGAUAGUGGAAUUCCUGGUGUAGCGGUGAAAUGCGCAGAUAUCAGGAGGAACACCGGUGGCGAAGGCGGGUCUCUGGGCAAUAACUGACGCUGGAGGAGCGAAAAGCGUGGGGAGCGAACAGG